AGGCCUCUUAGGAAGGUUGGUAAACAAACAAUCCUGUCAGAAAUCAGCCUGGAAGAAUUGUAAAGGUCCACUCCCGCUUCCAGGUGAACUUGAUAAUUCCCAGCUUGCUCUGUUGGUCCCACCUGAACAGCCAGGUUGACGCACUCACGCAGAGGUGGGACGGCCACCUUCUGCAGUUCUCUCAUAGGCCCCUCUGAGCUAUAGGCUUUUAUAAAGCGGCCAUUUGUCUUAUGGGAAACCCGUAACGGUCAUCUUGUUCCUCCUCAGUCAACCACAGGGAGGCGUGACCUUCUCAUUCCCAAACACCCAGAACUUACUGCAGGCCAGCACCUGUCUGAAUGCAUGGUGUAGAAUGAGGAUGAGGGUAGUGGAUGUCCUGGAGGACUCACUGCAGGAGCAGGGAUUUCUUGGCCUCCCCAUCACACAAUGAAUGCCUAAUGAAGAACAACAGAAUCCUCAGGGCUUUACUGACAGACAGAGAAGGAACUGACAUUACAGGGGCUCGCGGCUUCCAGAAUACGUAUUUUCAGGACAGACGAGUUCCUAUCCAGCAAGUCACUGAGAAGGUUUCUCCUGAGGUCCCUGAUGGUGAGGCAGUGUCAGCCCUCAUGGGACUCGAUGGCUUUCUUGUCUGUGACUCUGAGGACUGUCCACACCUGGAGAGGUACUCUGUGUCCUUGGCUGUGAAGCUCCUGAUCUGAUUUGCCCUCAUCGACUUGGUGGCCCUUAGACAUUUAGUGUAAGCAAAAAACUCUCCUGAGCAAAGAAUUCUGUCUGUUCUCAUUUCCUGACUGGAAUUCUAUCUAAUAGCAAAGUAAUCGUGGUGCAAUUUCUACUUUGCUUUUUGAAAAUCAAAGAAUCUUAUUUCAGAUUUCCUCUCCCCUGUCAUUUUCUUAAGGAACCAUAAGAUAGUAACGACAUCGCCAUCUUCAAACCUGCAUUUCCAUCGUGGGUGGCUCAUUGAAUUUUUUUUUUUUUUGUUUUUUGUUUUUUGUUUUUUCGAGACAGGGUUUCUCUGUGGCUUUGGAGCCUGUCCUGGCACUAGCUCUGUAGACCAGGCUGGUCUCGAACUCACAGAGAUCCGCCUGCCUCUGCCUCCCGAGUGCUGGGAUUAAAGGCGUGCCACCGCCACCCGGCCGGCUCACUGAAUUCUUACCUCUGUGAUAGUGAGUCCCAAGGACUUGGACUAAGACAUUCAGUAUGGUCUAAACGGGCGCUGGUGAUAUUAACGACCACCUGGGCUACUGAAAGGAUCAAGUGAGGUUAAGAUACAUAAAAUGCCUGGUAUGAGUAAAAUGCAAGAAUUACUAGCUAGCAUCAUUAGAAUGACAUAUAUUUAUGGAGCUAAUUACAGGGAAAGAAGAGCAUCACAAUGUUGGGUAAUUUGCUAGAUGUGUACUUUUAUGUCGUUCACAGCAUUUAUAUAAUGGUAAAACAAUUUUCUCAUCAUUCACUUAAUGUAUUGAUAUGGUAAGGGGUCUCUAAUAAGAUGCUAAUAUGUGCUUAAAAACAGAACGUUAUAUUCCUUUAUUUCCUGCAAACCCAAUAGACAGCUAGUUGAUCUUUAAGGCGCUAUAUAGCUUUUAAUUUGUAUGAUUUUAUAUUCAUGGGGUUUGGUUGGUUCUAAAAAGUUCUUUCUUUCUUCUUCAGAAGAGGCUUGGCCAUGGUUAUGAAGCAUACCUGCCGCAUGCGUCUGUUUGGUUUCAUUUACUGUCAUAGCCAUUGCUCCACUGCUGUGAAGAGACACCAUGACCACGUCAAUCCCCAUAAAGGAAAAUAUCUAACUUGGGGUCUGGCCAGUUUCAGGGGCUUAGUCCAUUAACAUCAUGGUGGCAGGCAGGUGUGGCGUUGGAAUGACAUCCUGAUCCUUGGGCCGAGAGAGGAGGGGGAGGGAAGGGAGAGAGACAGACUCUGGGCCUGGCAUAGGCUUCCUCUCAAACCCCAAAGCCCACUCCCACUGACAUACUUUCCUCAACAAGGCUACACCCACUCCAACAAAGCCCUCUCUCUCAAUCCUUCUCAAAUAGUGCCACUCCCUGAUGACCAAGCAUUCAAACAUGUGAACCCAUAGGGACCAUUUUCAUUCAAACCACCAUGCCUACCUAGGAAGAGCACAAAGAGAAAUACUUCUGCUCUCCUCACGGAGAUUGAAUGCCAUGGGGAACUCAUUUAUGAGUGACAACAGAAAGACCUAGACCUUACCACCCGACCCCAACCACUGACUUUGAUGAGCACAGGGAGGCGAUAAGGAAGUAGUCUUCAGGGCGGGAAGUGGUGCGGGACAGUCCAGGAGCCUGGUGGUGCUCACAGGGACCAGGACCCAGCAAAUCACUGCCUGGGAGGGGAACUAUGCUGGGAACCUUCCGGCCCUCAGCCUUCCACAGAAGCCCAGCUCUCCUCAGCAGGAGCAGGCCUGCGCAGAGAUUCACUGAGUGGUCAGCAGAUGGAUGGAGACCGUCAGUUUCUUUCUGGUCCACUAAAAAGUAAUUAAAGUAGAGACAUGAACAGAUGAUUCCAGUGGCCUGAGGCGUUUUGAUGAGUGAUACAUUACCUCUGCACAGGGUUUCAAACAUGAGGCAUCUGGACGUGAAGGAAUCCCUAAAGAGGAGCACCUGCAUCUUUGGUCAGAUGGGAACGGCCUGGGAUACGAGUUCUAUAGGAAGCAACCCUGGACAACUAGGAGCUUUCAAGAAUCCUGGCAGCUGUGCAGUGGACGUGUGCUGUAAGAAGUGAGGAAGCCAGAUCAGAGCUGGCCCAGAGCCAGAUCAGAGCCAGAUGAGAGGCUGGCCCAGGGACUCCUGGCCAAGGCCACUAGGCUGGGGGUUCCCCCAAUGUGCCAUCAGCACACAGGACAGGUAGGGCAUUUGUGCUACUGAACACUGGGUCGGGAUUGCUGGUUUCACCUCCUCUCCCAAGAUUCCUCAGGCCCUCAGCUGCAAGGUGAUAUUGCACUAGAGGACCGUUUAGUGCUGACAACGGCAUUGCCUCAAAUAGUUCAGACAAAACAGGAAGGGACAAACUGAGCGGAAGCAGAAGCCUGAUUUCCUGUUGUAUCAACCCUGUAUAAACAGCUCCUGGUGUGUCCACGAGCUAGUGCUCAUCUUUGUCUUCCAGCCUGAGGCGAACAGUUUCAGGAAAUAACCUCAGGUUUUCAGAACAAGCUUCCCUUUAGGUUUCUUGCCAGCCGGGCCAAGAUUGAGCAGGAAAAAACCAAAACCAAAACCAAAAUCUAUUCCGAUAGAUAAAAGCCACAGAGGAACAAUUCAUUCCUCUGCACCCACCCCAAACAUACGCAUCAGACUUCCUCCAUAAAGAACAAUCACCUUUGUCCAGUCUCACUGUUAGUGGAGAGAACCCUGGCUCUGGAAUCCAGGGAGACAGUGAGGAAAUGCUUCGCUGUUUAUUUCUAAAGGGGAGGCCGCCUUGCGUGAACUGGAGGGAAGGAACUCUUUUGUAUGUUUUCGCUGGAACAUUGGAAUAGAAUUAACAAUGACGUAAGGCUUUCAGAACAAGGGACAAAAUCCACACGUGUAGACAUCCUGCUGGCCCAUGAACUCAGAAUAUCUUUCUAGCCCCGCCCAGAAGACGUCCUGUCCAGUGCCAUUUGGGCAAGGUGAGCCUCCAUCUUCUGAAGCAAAAGCAAAAAUCCGUCUGUACUUGGCAGUCACAAAGCUUGCCAUAUGCCAGGGAGAGGGAGACUGUAAGGGUUGGAUUGCACGCCGCCUCGUCUUUUGGUGUGUCAAGGCUGAGUCACCCUCAUCCCGACACCCAGAGAACAUAAAUAGAAAGAUCUGAGGGGUAGAAAUCUGUACGUCUUGGGCUUUUCAAGUCCUUGUUAGAUGUUCUGUCUUCCCCAGCACUCAUGCCUAUGAAGAAACAAGAUUGUAAGAGGAGCCUUCGCUCCAGUCUUGGAGUGUCUCGGCACUCCAGAUCGAUUGAAUCACAAAGAACACACCUUCAUUUCUCAGAACAGUCUGUCCAAGUCCAAGGUUAGGAGGAAGGGAGGAAGCCUUUCACAGACGGUGGCAUUGGACUGAGUUCUCUGAGCUAGUCUGAUUUCCAGCCUUCACCUAAACCCCAUCUGCUGAUUCCUCCAGUAGAAAUCAGCUCACCAGGGCACGUAGGAUUAUGUAGGUGAAUUAUCUACUUUACAUCCUUUCCUUAAAUGGUUCCCAACCUUCCUAAUGCUGUGACCCUUUAACACCGUCCCUCAUGGUGAGGUGACCCACAGCCAUCAAACUAUUUCGUUGCUAUUUCAUAACUGCAAUGUUGCUACUGUUAUGAAUCAUUGUGUAAAUAUCUGAUAUGCAGGAUAUCUGAUGUGCGACCCCCAGAGGGGUCACAAUUCACAGGUUGAGAACCGCUGUUCCAGAGCUUCAUAAAACAUAUAAUAUCUUA